rnacentral:rRNA from 1 species
AACGAACGCUGGCGGCAUGCCUAACACAUGCAAGUCGAACGAGAUCCUUCGGGGUCUAGUGGCGCACGGGUGCGUAACGCGUGGGAAUCUGCCCUUAGGUUCGGAAUAACAGUUAGAAAUGACUGCUAAUACCGGAUGAUGACGUUAAGUCCAAAGAUUUAUCGCCUGAGGAUGAGCCCGCGUAGGAUUAGCUAGUUGGUGUGGUAAAGGCGCACCAAGGCGACGAUCCUUAGCUGGUCUGGGAGGAUGAUCAGCCACACUGGGACUGAGACACGGCCCAGACUCCUACGGGAGGCAGCAGUGGGGAAUAUUGGACAAUGGGCGCAAGCCUGAUCCAGCAAUGCCGCGUGAGUGAUGAAGGCCUUAGGGUUGUAAAGCUCUUUUAACCGAGAUGAUAAUGACAGUAUCGGGAGAAUAAGCCCCGGCUAACUCCGUG